UUAAUAUUUGCUCCCUGAUCGUCAACAUUUACUGCUUCAAUACCUGUGGCAGGGUUUUGUAUGACAUAAAAAGUAUACACGCUAACGUAGAGAUGGCAAAAAACACCAAAAAGUUUCUCUCCAGAGUGGUGGGACUUUCCCAAUGAUGUAAUCGUGUUUGAUUGACCAGAGCAUCUGUCUCAUGGAGUCCGAGUUGAAAUGCAUUUAAUAACAUGUUCUUUUAUCAAAGCAUUCACUAUUAUGUUAUACUUGAGCAGAUAUAUGGCACAAAUGAAGUAGUGCCCACUGCCCUAUAUAAAAUGGUGUAGGUACAAUCUUCAGCUAUUGCAAACUACUAAACGGCAUACAAGUUCAUGAUGCUGUAUGAAAAUUGAUAUUAGAUUAGAUAUAUCUUGGUUUAUUCAUGCAAAAUGUUAGUGCAGUAAUAUUCCAGUGAUUUGGGGCAUUGAGUAUGGUACAAGAAGAGUAUAAUUAACAUUCAAAAUCACAUGUGUCAAAAUUUACAAUUUAACUAAAACUAACACAUGAUAAAAUAACACAUUUUAUUUUUGGUACAUGUCAUCCUCAAUACUUUUAACACAUUGAAAAUAGGAAAUUUAGUGUGAGAUCAAGGAUAAAACUUAAGUCCUUUGGGGGUAUGUGUUUUUUUUCUAAAAGGGUCUAUAAGAAAUAUGUGUAAUAUGUGUAACACAAUAAGAACAUUGUAAGAAUAACUAGGAGAAUAAUAACUAUAUAAUGUUUUUAUAAUCUUCAGAAAAAAUGUUUAAUCAGUGCAUAAUGUAUUCAGGAUUACAACCAAUUUGAAAGAUAUUAUCAAUGAUACUUUAAAAGUAGUUUUUGUUUCCAGUUCUAUGAACACAAGUUGUAUAAUUAUGUCAUUCUUUCAACUCUUAUUUUUUUUUGUAUAUCAAUUAUACUUUGAGGAAAAGUCUAUUUUUGGUUUUUCUAAAGAUAAUUUUACUUUAAAUAGGUGAGAUGAUAGCAUAGUUUAUAACAUCUCACCUUACACACAAUGUUUUAGAACAAGGUAUAAACUAAUAUUAUUGAGUAUCACCAUAAAUUUAAGUUAAGAAUUGGAUAUUGAACAAUCCGUUUUAUGAAAAUAUUCCUGUCAUGGAUAUAUCGUUUUUGUUUUCAUUUCUCAUAUGUUAAUGUUAGAGGUUAUUUGUGUAAUUAUAUAAUUAUGGUUGGUGUUGUGCAGUUUGUCUAUGCAAUAAGGAAAAACAAUCUCAUGACAGAAUCAAAUGCAUGUUAAAUGAUCGAAUGAGCACCUUGAAUAAGCAUAAGUCUCAAAUGUUAUAAGCUGCGUGGUACUUAUUUAAUAAUUUACAGUAUUUAAAAGGACUGCACUUAUGCAUUUGUAUCGUUCUUGUUUUCAAUAUUAAUUACUUAUUAUUUAUCUUGUAUUUCAUAAUUAAUGUAUGCUUAUGUAUUAUGUAAAAUAUGUGUACUAUAUUAACUUUGCUAAACAUAUAACUAGAAUGAAAGUGUUAUCAUUAUACAGUAUGCUGCAAUCAAUAAAAUAAUCAUACCAGCAAAUUGUCUAUGGUCAAAACCUAUGAUUUUUAACCUUAUAAAUUUAAUUAAGUUAUAAUAUAUUUUAUAUUUUUCUAUAUCAUCUAAUAAUAAAUAAUUAAAUACAGUAAUUAUCUUAUUUUGUAAUUCAAAAAUAUAUAUAUAUAUUUCCCUGUUUUCUUGUAUCCUUGAUUGAGAGGUUAUUUGUUCAAGGGGGGAUGUAGACAGAGGUGCUUGUCACCUGUUCAUCCCUUCCUUUUCGCUGCUGUCCGUUGUGUUUUUCUUCUUUGUGCAGUGAUGAAGCGUAAUAAAUAAAUAAAAAGUCAAUUUGUAAAACAAGGGAUGGAUUGUGAUCUUAGUAAUUUAUUUUCUU
rnacentral:lncRNA from 1 species